rnacentral:piRNA from 1 species
UGGAAAUCCGCUUGGGCACAAC